rnacentral:rRNA from 1 species
GACGAACGCUGGCGGCGUGCUUAACACAUGCAAGUCGAACGGGCCUGCCUGGCUUUGGUUGGGUGGGUGAGUGGCGAACGGGUGAGUAACACGUGAGUAACCUGCCCUCUUCUCUUGGAUAACUGCUUGAAAGGGCGGCUAAUACGGGAUGUUCUGGCUGCCUCGCAUGGGGUGGUUUGGAAAGAUUCGGCCUGGUUUUGGUUGUUUUGGUGGGGGAUGGGCUCGCGGCUUAUCAGCUUGUUGGCGGGGUGAUGGCCUACCAAGGCGGUGACGGGUAGCCGGCCUGAGAGGGUGGACGGUCACACUGGGACUGAGACACGGCCCAGACUCCUCGGGAGGCAGCAGUGGGGGAUUUUGCACAAUGGGCGCAAGCCUGAUGCAGCGACGCCGCGUGAGGGAUGGAGGCCUUCGGGUUGUGAACCUCUGUCGCCGGUGAUGUAGGCUCUGCUUUGUGGGUGG